GGGCCGGGCCGGGGUCCCGGGGGCCGGGGCGGGGCCGGGCGGGCGCUGCGCAGCCGCAGGGCGGCCGCCGCGCAUGCGGGGCUCUCUGGGCUGCAGCCGGCGCCGCAGCCACUCCCGGGAGCAUGAAGGACCGAACCCAGGAGCUCCGCACGGCCAAGGACAGCGAUGAUGACGAUGAUGUCACUGUCACCGUGGACCGAGACCGCUUCAUGGAUGAGUUCUUCGAACAGGUAGAGGAGAUCCGAGGCUUCAUUGACAAGAUCUCCGAGAACGUGGAGGAGGUGAAGCGGAAGCACAGUGCCAUCCUGGCCUCCCCCAACCCCGAUGAGAAGACGAAGGAGGAGCUGGAGGAACUCAUGUCCGACAUAAAGAAGACAGCAAACAAAGUGCGCUCCAAGUUGAAGAGCAUCGAGCAGAGCAUCGAGCAGGAGGAAGGCCUGAACCGGUCCUCCGCUGACCUGAGGAUCCGGAAGACACAGCACUCCACGUUGUCCCGGAAGUUUGUGGAAGUCAUGUCUGAGUACAAUGCGACGCAGUGUGACUACAGGGAGCGCUGCAAAGGCCGGAUACAGAGGCAGCUGGAGAUCACUGGCCGUACCACAACCAGUGACGAACUAGAGGACAUGCUGGAGAGUGGAAAUCCGGCCAUCUUUGCCUCCGGGAUCAUCAUGGACUCCAGCAUCUCCAAGCAGGCCCUGAGUGAGAUUGAGACCCGGCACAGUGAGAUCAUUAAAUUGGAGAACAGCAUCCGUGAGCUGCACGACAUGUUCAUGGACAUGGCCAUGCUUGUGGAGAGCCAGGGCACUUUCCUAAAGUCCUGCCUCAAGCCCCCUCUGAGCCUGAGGGCGGCCCUCUGGAACUUGGGUGCCCCUGGCCCUGCAGGGGGAGAUGAUUGACAGGAUCGAGUACAACGUGGAGCAGUCGGUGGACUACGUGGAGAGGGCCGUGUCUGACACCAAAAAGGCUGUCAAGUACCAGAGCAAGGCGCGCCGGAAGAAGAUCAUGAUCAUCAUCUGCUGUGUGGUCCUGGGCAUCGUCAUUGCCUCUAUCUUUGGAGGUAUCUUUGGAUAGAAACUAGCCCCACCUGCCUCUCCACUCUGGAUGGUCCACACUAAGGAAGCUCCUUGGCUGCUGACUCCCUUUGGCUCGGAGCCCCCUCCUUUCUUUGCCAUGGGGCCCCUCCAUACCCACCCUGCCCUGAGCCGUCAUGUGCAUGAUCUUUGUAACAGUUUGUCUAUACAAGAGGCAGAGGGGAACCAGGCUGGGAGACCACCAGCGGGGUGGGGAUCGGGUCAGCAAGGGACAGACUCAGGCCCUGGCCUGGCUGCCUCACCCUUCCAGGCAGAGCUGCCCAGGUAGCCAUGUUCCCACUUCCUCUGCCUUCAGUAAUUCCACUCUUAACCUGGGGCCUGCCCUCUCCCUGCAUCAAGGCUCUCUCUACCCCAACCUUGCCUCCUGCUGAUCCAACCAUCUAUCCUGUCCUCUCCAGCUGUCCCCCGUAAGCCCAGCCCCCUGAGGGGUGGGGAUCAGCUGGCCACAUGGUGCUGCUUUUCAGGUUAGGGGAGGGAGGGAUGGCCCUGAGAGACAGCCCAGCUCUAAGCCUCUAACAGCCAGUCACUGCCAGGGAGGCUCAGGGUGUUGUGGCCAGGUAGCUUCUGGCUGUCAAGACCAGGUUCUCUCCCCUGCCUAGGGGCAGAGUCCAACAGGUCUUCGGCUGCCUCAACCUCCCCACAUCCCUAGAGCCCCAGGAGCAACCCCCCUGGGCUAUGCCUGACCCCAGACAACAUUCUGGAAGAGGCUGGCUGGUGCCUGGUCUCUAGCCACCCUUAGAGCCAGGGAAACAGAUCAGACCUGUCAGGCCAAGCCCACAGCCUGGACCAGCCAUUCUCCCCAGCAGGCCUUAGCCGGGUCCUCAAGCCAUUGUGUGUUGCAUGUUUGGGACUGUAGUCCCCACUCUUGUGCUCUGGGAAGUCAGAUGUUACUUCAGGCCUGCAGUCAUGUCCUGCCCUUGCUGUUCCCCACUGAUGUGCCACAUGAGUGUCAGGUGUCUUGGAUGCAGUAUUCAGCAGCCAGCCAGGGAGGGGUACCUCUCCCCCCACCAUCUCGGGGCUUCUCAAGUCAGAAACAUGCCCUCACUUCAAGACCCCUCUCUUCCUUGUUGACAGGCAAGGAGUGUGCAUGCGAGUGCAUGCAAUAGGGGAUGGGGCCAUGUCCAAGCCCCACCUUUCCUCAGCUUUGCUCCUGUCCAGUGACUGUGACCACUGUCCGCGUGUUGCCUUCUUUAACGACUUCCCUCCCCUCCUUUACCCCUUCACCAAAGGUCUUGGUACAACCAGCUGCCUGUUUUGUGAAAUUUUUAUGUAGAAUAAACAUUUGUAUCUGUA